rnacentral:RNase_P_RNA from 1 species
GGAAAGUGCAGCAGAAAAAAUACCGCUUCCCGCCCCGGCGGGGAGUAAGGGUGAAAAGGUGGGGUAAGAGCCCACCGCUCCAAAGGCAACUGAGGAGGCAUGGCAAACCCCGCGUAGUGCAAGACAGAACAGGGGAAGGGUUACCCGCCCGCAGAAUCCCCGGGUAUUAGUCGCAUCCUGCUUCGGCAGGGUCUGCCCAAGGCAACGCGGGCGGAAGAGAAAUGAUCGCCAUCCCACGUCGGACCAAGGUCUGAACCGGGAGACAGAAUCCGGCUUACAGGGGAGUGGACUGC